rnacentral:rRNA from 1 species
ACGAAGGGGGCUAGCGUUGCUCGGAAUGACUGGGCGUAAAGGGCGCGUAGGCGGUUUGAUCAGUUAGGUGUGAAAUUCCUGGGCUUAACCUGGGGGCUGCACUUAAUACGGUCAGGCUAGAGUGUGAAAGAGGGUCGUGGAAUUCCCAGUGUAGAGGUGAAAUUCGUAGAUAUUGGGAAGAACACCGGUGGCGAAGGCGGCGACCUGGUUCAUUACUGACGCUGAGGCGCGAAAGCGUGGGGAGCAAACAGGAUUAGAUACCCUGGUAGUCCACGCCGUAAACGAUGUGUGCUGGAUGUUGGGUGGCCUAGCCAUUCAGUGUCGUAGCUAACGCGAUAAGCACACCGCCUGGGGAGUACGGCCGCAAGGUUG